GUCAAUCCACACAAGUUCUCCCACACUGUAACUGUGUGUAACUUUCCCUGCGCAGAGUGCUUUUCCUGGGGUGUGGUCUUCAUUUUUGAGUGCAGAUGGGCACUGAGAUGGAUUCUGGAUUGGCCUGAGACAGACUGACUCCUGAAGCUUUAGUGAUUGUUCCACUAUAGACUCCAGUUGAGAAAUGCCAUAAUCCUGCAGGGCAGCAAUGGAAGUGGAGAGAAAUGGAACUUCCCUUGUGAUGCGUGUGCUAAGGUUGCAGUACUGUGAAGAACACUGUUUUGAAAAAUAUACACUUGCAAUGUUCCUCAUUGUCUUCUGUAUUACUGUUGAGAUGUGGCACUGUGCAUCAACUUGAAGGUCACCAGACUUCAACUGGACACCUGUGAAUAUUUCACUUAGCAGCUCUGCUCUCUGUAAGUAAGCCUGCUGGGUCACACCUUUUGUGGCAAUCGCUUUCACCAGCUGGAGGACUCGAUUGUCACAUUCUUCAUUGUUAGUAACGUUCUGAAAAGUAAGACUGUCACAGAAAGCGCAACAUAAGCACUGACAAAAAGCAUCAAAUGCACAUGUGUUCAGCAGAGAGACUCUUGAUUUCCUGAGUUUAACAGGCUGUUGAUUGUUUCCAUUUUUUAACAACUCUACUUUGACUCUUUUCCCCCUAACAGAUGGAUCUGCAUGGAGCCAUUCAGGGCAAGGAAAGAGGUAGGAAUCCCUCCUCUUUUUUUUGGGUGGAACACCUAGGCCUCUCCAGUUUUCAACAGGUUCUUCAUCUGUUGGAUGGAUACUUGUGGCAGCAUUAGAUACCUCACCAGGUACAGCUUCCAUUUUUUUGUUCCCUUCUGUACUAAUAGUGGGUAAUGGAUUGGCUGACGUCACAGUCACUGUUCCAAUAGCUGCAUCCUCUUCACCUUGUUGUUUUGCAAAACAAAUCCGCAUGUUUCCUUCAACGAAGGACAGAUGACGAGCAAUGAAUCGAUCCACACGAAUAGGUAAAUUUUCAUGCUUGAAAAGUCCAUGUUUGAUGUUUUUGAACUCUGCUUCAACUGCAGCUGAACUUGAAGUGACAUUGGUGCUUUGGAAGAGAGGGACCAUUAUCCCUGUCCAGAGUGGUCAGUGUGUAUUUCAUCACAGAGAUUCACUUGUUCCAGUUUCUCUUCCUCUACCUCCUCUGGAAUGAAGACUGACUCUUCUGCAAUUUGAGCUUUCAGGCAGUCCCACUGGCAGAUCAUUUUGAUGCAGUGUGCUACAUCAACCCUGACAAAACAAGAGGGCAGUUUUGCAGACCGUUUCCCAAGGACACUUGAGCUAUUAUGCCCUGUCAGAACGCCCUGAUACAGGAAGAUGUGCCCAGAUGAGCCAUUUGGUCUCACCAGUUUCCUGACUACGGAGCCUGUUGCAUCAAAACACACUGUCUGGUGAGAUUUCUUUGAUAAUGUUUUAUACACAUGCAUUUGGGUUUGACUCCAGUAGUGACAGAAAAACUUGUCCAGGCCAAUGUCUCUAAUGCUACCACUGUGAGGUGCACUAUAUUUUAACAGCUGCAGUGACAAAAUUGGAUCUUUGUCAGCUAAUUCCAAGUCGUUCCUCUGUUGCUUU